ACUGCCAGCACGCACUCAACAAACACACGCUGGUAUCCGAUGCUUACGGGGUUGGCAAGUUCAAUGUGGUGCCGCUCCUUUUUGUGAAACAUAAGCUGCACCUCGGCACAUUACUUCACCAUACGCUGAAACACAUACACACAAACACAAACCAGUAUACACGUGUUCCCUCCACAGCCCAACAUGAAACAUUUUUUCGCCUUGCGUUCUUCGUGCCAGCACCUAUCGCGGCGCGCAUCUUGGUCAUCCUGACGUGUCUGGCCGGAACCAUGGCCGGGCUGGCUCUCUGCCUCUUUUCACUCGAUGCAACUCGGCUCUCCGGCAUUUCUCACACCGGCGACCCGGCUGAAGCGGAGCGGUCAAGGCGGCUGCUCUCGAUUCUCGAGAAGCUUCACUGGCUAUUGAUUGCUCUCCUCACGUGGAAUGACUUCGCGCUUGAGAUGCUGCCAUUGAUUCUCAGGACACUUCUUCCCUUAGUGAUGAUUGUCACCUCUGUCGCGGUCACACUCCUUUUCUGUGAGAUUCUUUCAAGGGCUUUUUUCAUUCAGAAUGCAUUCGAGGUGUCCGCUUUCUUGUCUCCCUUUAUUCGUGUUCUCAUGUGUAUCACGGCCCCUGUGGCAUGGCCGAUAAGCCAGCUGUUGGGUGGUGUUGUGGGCGACAAGGAUGCCGUCUUUUUCCAGCUCCGCGAGCUGCGCGACGUUAUUCGAAUACAAGCCGUGUGAGCAGAGAAGGGGAAAGCGCGCGGAAGUGGAGGAGGACAGCGUCGAAAGCCAGGAAAACGGCGAGGAAAACCUCACAAAGAAGGGGAUCAUGCUGAUGCGCAACGUGCUCGGUUUUUCAGAGAGCACCGCGAAAGACAUGGUACAACUUCCAAUCGAAAAAAAUGUACAAGUGGCACAUCGACAUCCUUCUCUUUCCAUACGUCAUUGCAGAGGUGUUCGCCAAGGGAUACAACUUCAUCCCAGUCUACGAGAACGCCGACGCCUCAGCAAACGUGACGCAAAUCCUCAUGGCAAAGAUGGUCAUCGUGCUCAUUUACCGAUCCGAGUCUGAGGGGGUGUGCGUUGGAAAUAUGCAGCUGGUGCUGCUUCAGCGCUUCAAAGGCAGCACCAUGUCCACUAAGGUCUUUGUUCACCUGCAAGGCAUUGCGCCGUCCGGCGCUGCAUUCACAAGCAAGAUUGGUGACAAGGUAGGUUGGGCUGCUGACGUUGCGCACCGUCAGUGGGUAGAUUCGCGAGACGACGUUUCAAGCCGAGAUGGAUCCGCGCAGGCUGUCGCCGAUGUGGGUGAUGGUGCGCUCAUGGAGAGGUUUUGGAGAAUGGGCCAGUAGCCCAUAAAUGUGAUCAGCCGACCCAGCACCUUGAACGUCUGUUUCGCCUUAAUCCCAGCCGUUCCUCCACAUAAGAGGUCAGUACGGCGCGCCGACUCGGCUGAGCGACUCAGCAUUGCUGUAAGCACAGGCGAAGCGUCUCCUCUACACCAGUACUCAGUGAAAGCUGCCGUGGGAGCUUUUUUCCUCCUUCACGGUGCCUCAAAGAGCGUAUUUCGCUGGGCACCUCUAUUUUGGUUUCAUGGAUUUGUGUCUUGGAUGGAGCAUCAAGACCCUCUUUUGUUUUCUUUUGCUUGCAGAAAGAGGCCAGGUUG
rnacentral:misc_RNA from 1 species